rnacentral:rRNA from 1 species
CGAGUGCGUUCAGAGUUUGAUCCUGGCUCAGGAUGAACGCUGGCGGCGUGCCUAAUACAUGCAAGUCGAGCGCAAAGAUCAGGAGCUUGCUCCUGUGAUUUGAGCGGCGGACGGGUGAGUAACACGUAGGCAACCUACCCUUGAGAUUGGGAUAACUACCGGAAACGGUAGCUAAUACCGGAUACGACUUUUCCACAUAAGUGGAACUGUUAAAAGGCGGAUUUAUCUGCCGCUCAUGGAUGGGCCUGCGGUGCAUUAGCUAGUUGGUGAGAUAGUAGCUCACCAAGGCGACGAUGCAUAGCCGACCUGAGAGGGUGAUCGGCCACACUGGGACUGAGACACGGCCCAG